CCUCUUUCACCUCAGCCUGGUCCGGAGGAGAGGUAGACAGUCCUGGGGAGGUCUCCCCCUUCCCCAAAUCAGAGCUCUUUCCCAAGCCCGUGUCCCCGAACGCCCCCACCCUGUUCCCUGGGGGCGGGGAGAGAUGCUCUUGGUAUAAACUCUCCCAAACCAGAGCCUUUCACCCUAAAUUGCAUUAAUUGUCCCUCCCCCCCGCCCGAGCCUCCCAAUCUCUCGGCUCUUCUCCCCCCCCUCCCGCCCCGGGUCCGGGUGGUGGUGGUGGGGAUGGGGGGCAGCUGGAGGGCGGUGACCUCGAAGUACUCUUUGCGGCCAGUUCCAGCCAGGAGGAAAGAAUACUAAUUUCCCUUCAAAGGAAAGGCGCCCUGGUCGCGGAGCCUAAGGCCCCGGGAGACCCGCAGCCCGGCCCGGCCUUAGAGGAGGCACAAAGCCGCUGUGCCCCGACUCCCUCCCGGGCCAGGACUUUCUCCGGACCUUCGCCGCCAGCAGCAGCAGCAACAGCAGCAGCGGCACCUCGGCGGCCCAGGCAGCAGGCGAGGGGUAGCCAGCGGCUCCCCCCCCCCCCUCCCCGGGGCUCCCAUCCCCCCUCCUCCACCUCCUCCCGGCCCUGCCCUUCCCAGCUCUGCUUGAAGGGGAUCCCCCUUGUCUCUCUCUGCUCAGUCCCCCCCUGCAGCGCCCCAGGAUCCCAGCCCCCCUCCCUCCGCCAGCCCCCCUACAGAGCCGGAGGAACCGCGCGGCGGAGACAAGGAUGUGACUGCACCCGGCGGCGGAGGGUGCACUCGGCGGCGGCGGCGGUCGGAGUGAAGCUGCGGACGCCCGGGGCUCCCUCUCUCCUCUCUCGCCCUCUCUUCUCCCGCUUCCCCCGGUCCUCCCUCCGCGGCCCCCGGCCGUCCCACUGCCCCGGCCCCGCGCCCCCCGGCUCGCCGCCUCGGGGCUCCCCUCCCCUGCCCCGGACCGCCCCUCUCCGGCCGCCCGCCUGCUCCAGCGCUGACCCUGUCCGCCGGCGGGGAAGGAGGAGGAGGAGGCGGCACCGCCGAACCACCGGGCGAGAACAUGUCGGAAGUGCUGCCGUUUAACGAGGAAAAGCUGGGGCACUAUGGAGACGGGGGGGACGUGGGCCAGAUCUUCACGUGCCGCCUGCAGGAUACCAACAACUUCUUCGGGGCGGCUCAGAACAAGAGACCGCCCAAACUGGGCCAGAUCGGCAGGAGCAAGAGAGUUGUUAUUGAAGAUGAUAGGAUUGAUGACGUGCUGAAAAAUAUGACAGACAAGGCACCUCCUGGUGUUUAAAGCCCCCAAAGACACUGAGUUAAGGGACAAAAAGAUGAUAAUAAACACAGCAACUUCACACAGUUUAUUGGCAAAAAAAAAAAAAAAAAAAAGCAAUUUGGAAAAAAAAAAAUCUUCAUUACUCUAGCCUGCAGUCCACAAUGCAGACACACCACCAACCUGUAUCUUGUGUCAGGCCUGGGGACGGAAGAGGUGUGAGCAUAGCAAGGACAGAAACAAAAACAAAGAGCAAAAAAAUUUUAAAAAAUUAUUCAACAGAUUAAUUGAUUUACACACACUCAUAAGGAAAUUGACAUCAGCUGCAGCUGUUUGUCUAAAUUAAUAUGCGUUUCCUUUUAUAUACAGCGAAUAUUGCGCAAUUCUAGACCUGGAUUUCCAGCCACUUUAAAUAAUGCAGCAGCAGGAGCAGCAGCAACCGCCUGCCCAGCAAAAUGCCUCUGGGUUCCUGGUGGGAGGGGGGGGGGGGCUGGCAUCCCCUUUGCUGAUCUGGCUGCCCUGAAAGUCAGCCCUUUGUUUACAUUAUUCCCAUCUGGCAAAAACGAUUCUGUGCACUUAGAUGUGAGAUGCUGUCCGUUUCAUUUUUACAGAAAUAUUCAUAUCUUUGAUGUGUGUAAAACAAAACAAACAAACAAAAAAAAACCAGAAAAAAAAACCCCAGAAUGACUUAUAUAUAAAUAUAUAGAUAGUUAUUCUAUUUCGUUUUCCCGCCACCUUGGAAGGUCUUCCUGGGUGGGAUGUGCGUGCGCUCCACUGAACAAAACCAACCCACUUUCCCUAAGGAUUGCCAUCUAGGAAGAGUUUUCUCCUGAUUUCAAUGUGCUGUGAAGCUUGUGUUCUCUGGACUGCUUGCAAGCAAUCCGGACUCGAGUUCACAUGGACGAAUUUGGUGGGGGGGGGGGGGGGAGGAGGAAGGGGGGAAAAAGCCUCCUCUCUGUUGUAUGAGCCCCCACCCCUGUUCUUUCCUCCUCCCGGUGUUGUGGCGAUUCAUCCUCUUCAAUGAAUGGAUUGUACAAAAUGUGAUCACGAGAGUGCCAAAUACCUGGAAAUGCCAAAAGGCAGUUUGGUUUGGUUCCCCCUUUUUGUGCUCCCUGAGCCCAUGUAAAGCAGUGCUUCGUUGGAGUCUCUCUUUUCUGGGUUAUUUAUCGGGCUUUCUCUUAAGGCAGAACCGCUCUCCUUUUUGCAUGAUGUUUGCAGAGAUGCCUCUUGUGCAGGGGCUGGGGGUGGGGGGGUCUUUUCACCAUUUUGUUUUCUUUCUUCUUUUGGGUUUGCAACUUUGGAUGACAAACCUCAAAGAGGUUUCUUUUGCCUUCCCUCCGGCUGCCCCCUUGCCCUUCCCUCUCUCCCUUUUCUUAAUUCAAUAUUGUGUAUAUGGUGCACUGUUAACCACUACACAGGGCUAUUUCUGCAAUGUACAAUAAAAGGGACUGUUCCUGUGUCUAACCUCUGUGUCUUAUUUCGGUGGUCUAUUGGAGCGGGA
rnacentral:lncRNA from 1 species